GAUGAACGCUAGCUACAGGCUUAACACAUGCAAGUCGAGGGACCGGCGCACGGGGGAGUAACACCUAUCCAACCUGCCCUUUACUCGGGGGUAGCCUUUCGAUAGAAAGAUUAAUAUCCGAUAGAAAAGAUGGGGAUGCGUUCCAUUAGGUUGUUGGUGAGGUAACGGCUCACCAAGCCUUCGAUGGAUAGGGGAUCUGAGAGUAAGGUCCCCCACAGUGGAACUGAGACACGGUCCAAAAUCCGACGGGGGGCAGCAGUGAGGUAUAUUGUUCAAUGGGCGGUAGCCUGAACCAGCCAAGUAGCGUGAAGGAUGAAGGCUUAUUGGUCGUAAACUUCUUUUAUAUAAGAAUCUGUAUUAUAUGAAUAAGGAUCGGCUAACUCCGUGCCAGCAGCCGCGGUAAUAC
rnacentral:rRNA from 1 species